rnacentral:misc_RNA from 1 species
AAAAAUCUCAAUGAUAGGGAGAUGGCAAAUAUUACAUUAGUGAAUAAUAUGUUUGAAUUUUUUCAUGCUCAUUUAGUCCAAUUGGAAAGUUUGGACUCAAGAGGCUUAUAGAACAUAUUUCACAGACGUCUUUGUUCACAUUUUCUAUUUGCUUUCCGGAUGUCUGCCCAUUUCUAUUAGCAAAUAUCAUUUGAAAGACCACGAUUCCAUCCCAAACUAGAGCCGUUUAUGAGGUCAAUGGCCCUCCAUAAUGUUGCAAGUUAGUGGACUAACAACAUGAUUCAUAAACAUGUGUAUUGUGCUGAACAGAUAGCGGGUCUCACGCUUAGCUCUUGUAUGUUGUCUUAUUUCUUAUUUGAUAU